rnacentral:rRNA from 1 species
GAUGAACGCUGGCGGCGUGCCUAAUACAUGCAAGUCGAGCGAACAGACGAGGAGCUUGCUCCUCUGACGUUAGCGGCGGACGGGUGAGUAACACGUGGAUAACCUACCUAUAAGACUGGGAUAACUUCGGGAAACCGGAGCUAAUACCGGAUAAUAUAUUGAACCGCAUGGUUCAAAAGUGAAAGACGGUCUUGCUGUCACUUAUAGAUGGAUCCGCGCCGCAUUAGCUAGUUGGUAAGGUAACGGCUUACCAAGGCGACGAUGCGUAGCCGACCUGAGAGGGUGAUCGGCCACACUGGAACUGAGACACGGUCCAGACUCCUACGGGAGGCAGCAGUAGGGAAUCUUCCGCAAUGGGCGAAAGCCUGACGGAGCAACGCCGCGUGAGUGAUGAAGGCCUUCGGAUCGUAAAACUCUGUUAUUAGGGAAGAACAAAUGUGUAAGUAACUAUGCACGUCUUGACGGUACCUAAUCAGAAAGCCACGGCUAACUACGUG